rnacentral:rRNA from 1 species
GAUGAACGCUGGCGGCGUGCCUAAUACAUGCAAGUCGAGCGAAUGGAUUAAGAGCUUGCUCUUAUGAAGUUAGCGGCGGACGGGUGAGUAACACGUGGGUAACCUGCCCAUAAGACUGGGAUAACUCCGGGAAACCGGGGCUAAUACCGGAUAACAUUUUGAACCGCAUGGUUCGAAAUUGAAAGGCGGCUUCGGCUGUCACUUAUGGAUGGACCCGCGUCGCAUUAGCUAGUUGGUGAGGUAACGGCUCACCAAGGCAACGAUGCGUAGCCGACCUGAGAGGGUGACCGGCCACACUGGGACUGAGACACGGCCCAGACUCCGACGGGAGGCAGCAGUAGGGAAUCUUCCGCAAUGGACGAAAGUCUGACGGAGCAACGCCGCGUGAGUGAUGAAGGCUUUCGGGUCGUAAAACUCUGUUGUUAGGGAGGAACAAGUGCUAGUUGAAUAAGCUGGCACCUUGACGGUACCUAACCAGAAAGCCACGGCUAACUACGUGCCAGCCGCCGCCGUAA